rnacentral:rRNA from 1 species
GAUGAACGCUGGCGGCGUGCCUAAUACAUGCAAGUCGAGCGAACGGACGAGAAGCUUGCUUCUCUGAUGUUAGCGGCGGACGGGUGAGUAACACGUGGAUAACCUACCUAUAAGACUGGGAUAACUUCGGGAAACCGGAGCUAAUACCGGAUAAUAUUUUGAACCGCAUGGUUCAAAAGUGAAAGACGGUCUUGCUGUCACUUAUAGAUGGAUCCGCGCUGCAUUAGCUAGUUGGUAAGGUAACGGCUUACCAAGGCAACGAUGCAUAGCCGACCUGAGAGGGUGAUCGGCCACACUGGAACUGAGACACGGUCCAGACUCCUACGGGAGGCAGCAGUAGGGAAUCUUCCGCAAUGGGCGAAAGCCUGACGGAGCAACGCCGCGUGAGUGAUGAAGGUCUUCGGAUCGUAAAACUCUGUUAUUAGGGAAGAAUAUAUGUGUAAGUAACUGUGCACAUCUUGACGGUACCUAAUCAGAAAGCCACGGCUAACUACGUGCCAGCAGCCGCGGUAAUACGUAGGUGGCAAGCGUUAUCCGGAAUUAUUGGGCGUAAAGCGCGCGUAGGCGGUUUUUUAAGUCUGAUGUGAAAACCCACGGCUCAACCGUGGAGGGUCAUUGGAAACUGGAAAACUUGAGUGCAGAAGAGGAAAGUGGAAUUCCAUGUGUAGCGGUGAAAUGCGCAGAGAUAUGGAGGAACACCAGUGGCGAAGGCGACUUUCUGGUCUGUAACUGACGCUGAUGUGCGAAAGCGUGGGGAUCAAACAGGAUUAGAUACCCUGGUAGUCCACGCCGUAAACGAUGAGUGCUAAGUGUUAGGGGGUUUCCGCCCCUUAGUGCUGCAGCUAACGCAUUAAGCACUCCGCCUGGGGAGUACGACCGCAAGGUUGAAACUCAAAGGAAUUGACGGGGACCCGCACAAGCGGUGGAGCAUGUGGUUUAAUUCGAAGCAACGCGAAGAACCUUACCAAAUCUUGACAUCCUUUGACAACUCUAGAGAUAGAGCCUUCCCCUUCGGGGGACAAAGUGACAGGUGGUGCAUGGUUGUCGUCAGCUCGUGUCGUGAGAUGUUGGGUUAAGUCCCGCAACGAGCGCAACCCUUAAGCUUAGUUGCCAUCAUUAAGUUGGGCACUCUAAGUUGACUGCCGGUGACAAACCGGAGGAAGGUGGGGAUGACGUCAAAUCAUCAUGCCCCUUAUGAUUUGGGCUACACACGUGCUACAAUGGACAAUACAAAGGGCAGCGAAACCGCGAGGUCAAGCAAAUCCCAUAAAGUUGUUCUCAGUUCGGAUUGUAGUCUGCAACUCGACUACAUGAAGCUGGAAUCGCUAGUAAUCGUAGAUCAGCAUGCUACGGUGAAUACGUUCCCGGGUCU